rnacentral:rRNA from 1 species
GAUGAACGCUGGCGGCGUGCUUAACACAUGCAAGUCGAACGGAAAGGCUCCUGCUUGCAGGGGUACUCGAGUGGCGAAAGGGUGAGUAACACGUGGGGGAUCUGCCCUGCACUUCGGGAUAAGCCUGGGGAACUGGGGCUAAUACCGGAUAGGACGAUGGUUUGGAUGGCAUUGUGGAAAGGUUUUUCGGUGUGGGAUGAGCUCGCGGCCUAUCAGCUUGUUGGUGGGGUAAUGGCCUACCAAGGCGUCGACGGGUAGCCGGCCUGAGAGGGUGUACGGCCACAUUGGGACUGAGAUACGGCCCAGACUCCUACGGGAGGCAGCAGUGGGGAAUAUUGCACAAUGGGCGCAAGCCUGAUGCAGCGACGCCGCGUGGGGGAUGACGGCCUUCGGGUUGUAAACUCCUUUCGCUAGGGACGAAGCGCAAGUGACGGUACCUGGAGAAGAAGCACCGGCUAACUACGUG